AGCUCCAAUAGCGUAUGUCAAAGUUGUUGCGGUUGAAAAGCUCGUAGUUGGAUCUCGAUGCCGGGCUGGCGGUGCGCCCGUAGUGGUGUUUUCUACUGCCAGUGCCGGCGAUAAAAAGAGGCCGGCAGUUUUCUUCCCUUGGUGCUCUUGACUGAGUGGCUUGGGUGGCCGGAACGUUUACUGUGAAAAAAUUAGAGUGCUCAAGGCAGGCCUACGUGCCCGAAUACUGGUGCAUGGAAUAAUAGAAUAGGACCUCGGCGCCACGUUUGUUGGUUUACGGUGCUCGAGGUAAUGAUUAAGAGGGACUGCCGGGGGCCUACGUACUGCGGCGCGAGAGGUGAAAUUCUGUGACCGUCGCAGGACGAACGAAAGCGAAAGCAUUUGCCAAGAAUGUUUUCC
rnacentral:rRNA from 1 species